GUUCACUUGAAGUUGCUAUUCGACCACCUCUUCCUCUUGGUGGAAAAAAUCUCCCUCGUUGAAAACCACCUCGGGAUGGUUUGUCCUUCUUGAGAGUCAAGUUAGUUUGAAGUACUUGCUCUAGAGACUUUUCGUCUUGUCGCUUCAAAAUCCUUUGUUUAUGAACUUAUAGAGAUCCCAUGAGUUCUUCCACUGUCAUUACAUCUGUGUCUUUAGAUUCUUCAAUGGA
rnacentral:lncRNA from 1 species